AACGGUCAUACUAUGCUGAAUAUACUGGUUCACGUUAGAUCACCGAAGUCAAGCAUUACUGGGCGCGGUCAGUACUUGGGUGGGGGGACCACCUGGGAACACCGCGUGCCGUU
rnacentral:rRNA from 1 species